UACGUAGGGUGCGAGCGUUGUCCGGAAUUAUUGGGCGUAAAGAGCUUGUAGGCGGUUUGUCGCGUCUGCCGUGAAAAUUCGAGGCUCAACCUCGAACUUGCGGUGGGUACGGGCAGACUAGAGUGUGGUAGGGGAGACUGGAAUUCCUGGUGUAGCGGUGAAAUGCGCAGAUAUCAGGAGGAACACCGGUGGCGAAGGCGGGUCUCUGGGCAACUACUGACGCUGAGGAGCGAAAGCGUGGGGAGCGAACAGG
rnacentral:rRNA from 1 species